UACGGGGGGGGCAAGCGUUGUUCGGAAUUACUGGGCGUAAAGGGCUCGUAGGCGGCCGACUAAGUCAGACGUGAAAUCCCCCGGCUUAACCGGGGAACUGCGUCUGAUACUGGAUGGCUUGAGUUUGGGAGAGGGAUGCGGAAUUCCAGGUGUAGCGGUGAAAUGCGUAGAUAUCUGGAGGAACACCGGUGGCGAAGGCGGCAUCCUGGACCAACACUGACGCUGAGUGAGCGAAAGCCAGGGGAGCAAACGGG
rnacentral:rRNA from 1 species